AUUGAACUCUGUCUGCCGGCCUAACACAUGCAAGUCGCACGAGUGGCGGACGGGUGCGUAAUGUCUUGGCAACUGCCCGAUGGAGGGGUAUAACUACUGGCAACGGUAGCUCAUACCGCAUACCCUCGUAUGUGCCCAGAUGGGUUUAGCUAGUAGGUGGGGUAACGGCUCACCUAGGCGACGAUCCCUAGCUGUUCUGAGAGGAUGACCAUCAAACCUGUAAUUGAGAAACGGUCCAGACUCCUACGGGAGGCAGCAUGGGGGAAGAUUGCACAAUGGGCGCAAGCCUGAUGCAGCAAUGCAGCGUGUAUGAAGAAGGCCUUCGGGUUGUAAAGUCCUUUCAGCGAGGAUGCGUUAUUCGAAGAAGAAGCACCGGCUAACUCCGUGCCAGCAGCCGCGGUAAUAC
rnacentral:rRNA from 1 species